UGGACGAGUCCUCAGUCUGCCGCGGUGGGAUGUGAUGAUGAGUGUGUGGAAGACCCGAGUGUAACGUCACUGCUGUUCAGAGAGUGGAAUCUGGCGACAUGUGACUGAGCUGUGGACGAGUUUCUGCGAAUGCCGUUUAAUCUUUAAAAAUCUUAUUUCCACAAUACGAAUUCUGGUAAUGCUUGUAUAAAUAUAGCUUUUAUAUUUUUGUUCUACUAGUGUGUUGGCUUUUUUUUUUUAACAUUAAAUGUGACUUUGAAACCCAUCAAGCUUGCUGUCUUCAGAUUACUUUAUUUGGAAAAUGCUGUUAAAGUAGAGCUUCCACGGUCUUCUAAAAUGGUUGAUUUAUAGUUUAUGGUACGUUUUAACAUUGGGCUUAAUCUAAAGAGUAAUUGAAGAGUAAAAUUGGCUUAAAAAAAAAACCUGGAAAGGUGAACCCUGUUAAACUGAAGUUUUUAUAUAGGCCACAUGGUUUUUCAGAUAAUCAUGGUGACGAUCCUGUCCUGGAAGGGGCCACCUUCCUGCAGAGUUUAGCUCUGACCCAAAGUAUCACAGCUACUAGCUAAUCUGGUUCACCAGGGUUCUGCAAAAUACUGCGGUCAGAUCUUUUAGGAAGUGUCUUAGAUUUGACUUUGUAUAGAUUUGUUUUGAAGUGUCCAUUCAUGUAAAUAAUAAAAUAGUUGCCUUUUAGUCUUUUUUUUUUUUUUUUUUU